rnacentral:tRNA from 1 species
AUUCAUUUAGUAUAUAUUUAGUAUAUAAAGCUUCCAACUUUAAGGUUUAACUUCAAAGUGAAUA